CAGUCGCCACGGUAAUACGAAGGGUGCAAGCGUUACUCGGAAUUACUGGGCGUAAAGCGUGCGUAGGUGGUGGUUUAAGUCCGUUGUGAAAGCCCUGGGCUCAACCUGGGAAUUGCAGUGGAUACUGGGUCACUAGAGUGUGGUAGAGGAUAGUGGAAUUUCUGGUGUAGCAGUGAAAUGCGUAGAGAUCGGAAGGAACAUCUGUGGCGAAGGCGACUAUCUGGGCCAACACUGACACUGAGGCACGAAAGCGUGGGGAGCAAACAGGAUUAGAUACCCGCGUAGUCCCUGUCUCUUAUAA
rnacentral:rRNA from 1 species